rnacentral:rRNA from 1 species
UACGGGGGGAGCAAGCGUUGUUCGGAUUUACUGGGCGUAAAGGGCGCGUAGGCGGCCACUGCAAGUCGGUUGUGAAAUCUCCGGGCUUAACCCGGAAAGGUCAAUCGAUACUGCAGGGCUAGAGUGCAGAAGGGGCAACUGGAAUUCUCGGUGUAGCGGUGAAAUGCGUAGAUAUCUGGAGGAACACCGGUGGCGAAGGCGACAUCCUGGACCGGUAUUGACGCUGAGGCGCGAAAGCCAGGGGAGCAAACGGG